CGGUCCUCGAUUCGUACCAUGUGAUAAGCCAGUUGUGGCGCUCGAAAAACGCGCAGAAGAGUACUUCUUUUUAUUAUUUUUUGCACUGCAUCAGCGAGAGAAACUAUUGUUAUUUGAAGAGUGAGGCUCGACUCUUCGACUCAUGCGAUCAACAAUGGCGAGCGCCGGCGCAUUAUCGGGGGCAAGGUGCUCGAAGACUGCACACGUUUGACCUUUUAACAGGCACCUUGUGCUCUUUAGAUGAAAUUUUAAAGCAUUUCCAGUUAAGUCUCGACCUGUAUUAUUUUUUUCAUAACAGUAGAGGUACUAAUUUUAUCAAAACAGGCGAAAAUUAAAAAAUCUGUAAUUUUGAAAAAUCUAGCGUUUUUCGACCCGCAUCUCCCCUUAAGUGAUUGCGUCCCAAACCAUACAAGGAAAACCUUUCACAUGCUGACCAGGGCCUGUACAGGAAGAUGCUUCGAAACGAGCUCUUUGAAAUGCAUGUUGGAAAUUCCACUGGAAAGCACCCUAACACUUCUUGUGAUCUCUAUCCACUGUGUAGCUAAGGUGUUCAAAUGGAAAUGUUGGUCUUCGAAUGCAUGUAGACAGGAGUGGCUGACCGACCCCUACUUGCAUGCAAACACUUUCCUCUGCCUCAAAAUCUAACAUACUCAUGAUCUUUGAGGAAUGGCCUGAUGCAACCAGAUACACCACUGGAAAUGAACUGGCCUCCACGCCAAUUUAGAAGCUGUGAAUUGGCAAAUUCUUAUCACCUGCUUCGUCACUUUUUGCAGAUUUAUCACAGUAUUCCAUAAAACUCACUAUUUUUAUUUCGCUAUCCUGCCUGUUCAUAUCACUGUAAACAGGCAGCAGCAUCUCUAGCUGCAUUUUUCUGGUUUGACGAGUGCGCCUGCACACUCUUUCUGCUCAGUCGAAGAUAUCGCAUCUGCCCCAUGCCGAGAAGAACCUUCCUUUACGCGCUAGUUAUCCUGGCAUUCUGCCAUGCUUGGAACACCUGUCAUCUCCGACUGGCGACGGACGCUGCACUCACCAGCUUGCUCAGCCAUGCAUUCCAUGUUUUUUGUGCCUGGUUUGUGCUCAAUUCCUAUAUUCACGGUACCCUGACCGGUGAGUGGUGGUGUAUCUGGGGUAGCAUAUCUUGGUUGGGGUGGCGUGCAUGGCACGCGCGCAGUUUCUUCCUGUGGUAGCGGCUUGUUCUUGGCUGGUUGAGGUUGGUUGUUGAUCCGGUUACCAGCAUCAUCUCUGCCUCUUCUAAGGCCUGGGCCUUUUUGUGAAUCAGGCGAUUCUGCCUGCAUUGCUCACCUAACCAAUACGUCACUUUUGCAGGGAGUAGCAAGUAUCAUCCGGCAUGUUUCGCCAUGACAAUGUGAAGCACAAGUAUCAAUCGUUCCAUUUUUCUUUCAUGAGCUGCAGCUGCCUCUUUACGCCUGGUGGUCUCUCUCUCAAGCGCAAGCCGCUCUGGUUCUUCAGCUUCCUUUAGCCUGGCCUGUAUGAGCACCUAACAAUCGCAAAGCCUCUUUUCAUCGAUGCCGGAAUCCUUAAUCACGUGAAUCAAAUGUGGCUUCCUAUGUAUCAUCACCAUGUCAAUGCCCAGCCCUUCGCAGAAAAGAACUAAACCCAGUUUUCUUAACCUGUUCAAAUCUAUGGUCACCCCGUGCAAACUUUUGUUGCUCAAGCUGCUGUCAAGUUACCUCUAAUAAGUACUAGCCUUCACGAAGCAGCGACCAAUCUACCUCUUUGGAUAAACAUCACCAUCUAUCCAAAACACCUGGUAGAAUCUCUACGAAAAGUGAGCACUCACCAGCAUCGGUACCAGGAAAAAAGCCAAUCAGAUCUAAUCGAAUCCUGCCGCUGCCAAACAGUUGAUACGACCGAGGAGUGGGGCACAGGCAACCACCCCGGUGCCGGGGAAGGAAGAACCCUUUCGAGGCCUCUUGAGGACCGAGAACACACAAUUUAAUUACUUAUUUACAGGUAUUCAAUAGACCAGGCAUCGAGACGCGCCUUUACACGAGACACAACCGGCUGAAACGAAGGUCGGAGCGAGAGCCCCCAGCGCACACGCAACGCUCCUUUUUUAUCCCCCAAUCUGUGCUUGCGCUUCUUGUCAAACGCCGGCUGCGUGUCCCAGCAGCGCCGAUGCGCGUUUUGUGCAGUGCACGCGGAUGCCUCUUACAUUUCUGCUGGACACGGACCGCGUUCAAACUGUAUGAAGAGCGUCUUUCACAGGUCGUAUCCUUGCACUGCCUGUCACAGUACAUCAUUUAUUUCGCAUCCACGGUCAUGCAACUUUUUCCUGCCAUUCUUGCUAGCAUACCGCAUGCAAAGUGGCCUGGACAUGCAGAAGGAAUUGCAUAGCACUGUGGUCAGAAUCAUAAUCCAUUUAGGAACAUUGUAAAGGGAAGCGCACAGGUGUAUAGUGAAGGCUUGUGUGGCCUUUGCUAAUACAUAGACAUAUAUUUCCAAUGUCGCCAAUAACUUGGUAUACAUCUAUGUAUUCUUGUUGAACCGGUGAUCUUGAUUUUAACAAAGUGGCCUGUCUUGGCAAAUUAUUUCAUCUUUGAGCUGAGGCUUGUGCAUAACUUCUUGGGAGGUACCAUUGUCUAGCUACCUCCCCCACGUUUAUUAUUAUUAUUUUUUAUGUAUGCCACAUGCAAGGCUUAGCUUUGGUACUAGGGGUGUGCGAAUUGGGAAUUUUGAAACCAAAUCAAGUAUGAAUCAAAUAGUGUUGAUCAAAUCAAAUACGAUGACAAAUUGAGUUGUAUUCAAAUAGCUUUUGAAUAGUAAGACAACCAUUUUUCAAAGCGGCCCCAGAACAGCAAAUCAGUCAUUUUUGAAACAGCCCAAGAAUUCCACAAUAAUUUAUUUGAAACUUUUGAAAGUAUGAAAUUUGAAAAUUUAUUUGAUAUUAACUAUCUUCAAUAAAGAAAGGUUGCUGUUACUUGUAACCGACAAAAAAAAAAAAGAUACCACAAUUUUGUAAAUUGAGGCAAGCUCAUAGAAAGCAACUAAUAGAGCCUUAGAAAUAGUGUUUUGUAACUGCAGGUUGAAAUACAGGUGUGACUAUGGUGUUCAAUAUUGCACUUUUUCAAUGGCUUGUAAAUAAGUGUUAAACAAUAUUCAUGAGUUAGCAUCAUCAUGAAUGUCAUGAUGAAGAUAGUAGAUUGAUGACUCUGUCACUUCAGCAACACUGGAGAAGUGAAAACGCUUUCAUCCUGUUUUCAAUUAGCAUCAAUAGUCCUGUAAAACUUUGAACUGUCUGUGCCUUGUGCAUUAGGUGUUUCAAAUCAGAAAAGUUACUGCUCUCUAUUCCAGUGUCUUAUUCCUUCAAGGCUUUUAUUGGUGCUUAUUAUUAGGAAAAUAUUUGGUAUUUAUUAUGUGCACUGUUUAAUUUGAGUACUGAAUCAAAUAAUAAAAUGCUACUUGAUUUGUUAUUCAAAAUUUUUCAAUAUUUGCAUACCCCUAUUUGAUGCACGUCGCUGUGAUAAUGUGAGGAUAAGGUGCCUGUAUCGAGGCUUGUACCAGUACACUUGUUAAUGUUUUUUUUUUUUUUUCGAGCUUUUGCAUACUGUUGUCAAUGCAGGGCAAAUGUCUGUAUGUGAAAAAUAUGUAGUUGGAUUCUGUACAUACAGUCCUUAUUUUGUCUGUGCAAGCAAAUUGUCAGAGAGAACUGUAAGCAGAUGUUACGUUACAUGCCUGGGAAAUUGCGAAUGCUCCAGGGUUCUAUAUUUCUCUAGAGAUUAUCAGUUACUUUGGGCAUUUGUGAAGUAUGGUAGAUUUUAUGCUGCAGAAGCUAUAUUAUUUAUUUUUGAGCUGUGUACUGAAUGUUGCUGAUAUGUAGACUAUGGCAAAAUAUUGCCCCUUUGUACUUUGUAAUGCCUGAGUGUACUUCAGCAUGGAAACAUGUAUUUACAAUUUGAAUGUCUUUUUCAUGCUACAGCUUUUUUUUAUUGAAGUAGCCUUUCAAGCUUGGAUGUUCUCUGUUGUUCAUUCCAGAACUGUCUCAGUGCUUCUACUAAGACGAAGAAAAUAAUUAUUGAAUUCCAAAGUUUGGAAACUGCACUGAUAUUUCUCUUCCACUUUGCAUGCUCCUUCAUCAAGACACUGUCUGACUGUAUGGGCUCAUUUCCUUAACAGGCUUGUGGCAUUCUGGCCAAGUGUUGCCAGUUCUGUGAACUAUCAACUGUCAUUUUCUAGAUAUCUGUACAUUUCUGACAUGAAUAAAGAUGCUUCAUUUUUUUUUAACAGUGCAAA